AUUGAGAAGAUGGCAAUGAUUUUUUUGGUGGCUCUUCUUCCACUUGUAUUCAGCAAUGACUGUAAAUUCAUGCCAUUCGACUGUUCUGACAUUUAUUACUCAGGACAAAAAAUCAGUGGGAUUUAUCCCAUAUAUCCAAAAGAUGACGUUCCUGUCUGGGUUUACUGUCAGAUGAUCUCAGAUGGGAAAGAUGAAGACAAAGGAGGAUGGACGGUGAUUCAGAGGAGAAUGGACGGCAGUGUGAAUUUCUAUCGGCCGUGGAAUCAGUACAAGAGAGGAUUUGGGAAUGUGGAGAGAGAAUACUGGCUGGGUAAGAUCUCACAGUGUGUGUGUGUGUGUGUGUGU